UUGUUGUGAAAGACAUGGGUAGUGAGAUGUUUUAAGGGUCACCUUGCUACUCUGUCUUUUGCAUGAGG
rnacentral:pre_miRNA from 1 species